rfam:TPA: Bos taurus chromosome 21, whole genome shotgun sequence.
UCCCUGGUGGCUCAGACAGUAAAGAAUCUGCCUGCAAUGCAGGAGACCCAGGUUUGAUCCCUGGGUGGGGAA